rnacentral:lncRNA from 1 species
CUUUAAUUUUACUUAGUAACAUAAAUUGCUUAAAACAAAACAUAUAGAAUUUCAUAUUCACAAGUUUGCCUAAUAUGAUGUUUCAGAAAAAUAUUGUAUGUUCUCUUAGUUAAUGCUUAUGUCCUUGCCAUUGACUUGUUUACAGAUUAUUUCAUUGGAUUGCCCUCUAAUUCCGAGUUUUUGUAGUCUGAAAUCCACCCAGGGUAUGUGCAGGUCAAAGUCUGGAGGAGCUUUGGGGUAAUAGGAAGAACUCAAGACUCCAAGUCCGGAGACACAGGUUUGAAUUCUAGGUCCCUGGGUUCCUAAAUCUCUCUGAGCCUUCAGUUUCCUCAUCUAUGAUAAGUGGAUGACAAUAAUCAGUUUACAGGGUGACUGUGAGAAUUAAAUGAAAUAAAAUACUUUGAAUACUUAGCAGUGCUUAGUAUAUAUUUAAUUUGACAUAAUCUAAAAGUGUUUGCUCGGGUUUGCUGGAAGUAAAAAAUUGGUGCUCAACAUCACCUCUCACUUGAAUGGAAGAAAUAGCCAUUGGACAGAGACAUCCGUAUAUUAAUGAUUGGCUCUGGGUCUGUUUAUUUUUAUUUGAGUCAAUGAAUAAGUGCCCAUACAGCACUUUGUCCACUACUAAGAUUCUUAUACUGUGUUAAUUUCCAUAGCAGCAUUCCUGCCUGCUGAGUUUCCUGGAUUUGCUGAGCUAAACAAGUUCAUUCGCACCCAGUUCCACCUGGGAUGAAGAUCCAUCUACAGGGCUGGAACUGACAGGGAAAACUUUUCAUCCCAUCUGAGGUCACCUUCACUUACAGGAUGCUGGCUGCUGAUAAGUAUCCUAUCAGGAGAAGAAGAGAAAAAUAAUUUGACACUUAUAGCCUGUCUUGAAAGAUGAGAUUCACUUAUCAGCAAACCAGAUGAAGAGAAUCACUGAGCACAGAAAUGAGAUCUGAGCACACUAGAGCUCAACUAAUGUAUCCCUGCCCACACAGGCAGAGCCCAGCUGGCUUUGGCCCGGUUUGGAGAUUCUCCAACCAAGUCCCACCCUCAGAGAGGUUGCCAUACUCUCGCCAUUAGAGAAGCCAGCGGGGAGUUACAGCCACAGCAGCUUUUGCAGAAUCCCUAGGAGACCUACAGGGACAAAGCAGAGUAAAGGAAAAGGUCCUGGAGAGGUGUUCCUUGUUCUGAAGAGGAGAAACAGUAAAAAAUUUGCCAAGGACCCAAGAUAGAAGACUGUGGGCCCAGAUCCUAAUGUAAAAGAAGCCUGCCUCAACUUAAUUUUCCUGGACAGCAAGAGCUAUGAAAAUGAACUGGGUGAAUAUUGGUGUUUUCAGCUUGAGGUUCCAAUGAAUUAGGACAAUCAGAAGGAAGAGUUUAAUUUUGGGGUCUAGCAUGAGACCAUUCAGUUCAAACUUUCAUUUCACAGUUAGGAAACUAGACCCAGAGAGGCACAGUGCUUCGGCUUGAUGCUAAUAGACUGAUUUUGGAAGGCAGUUGAGCUGGAAGACACAGAUCUGGGGGCUGUCAGCCAAGGGCUGAGAAGGAUGUGAAUUAAGAAGGUGGGAAGGGAAUUGAUGGUUAAGGCCUGAGUCUUGAGAGAAACCCAUGGCCAGGAGCAGAGGAGUUAAGAUUCAUUCAGAAAUGCUCCUACAGACGUGGGAGAACAAGGAUUGUUCAGUAUAAUGGAAGCCAAAGGAGAGGGUUUUGAGGAGCAAAAGACUAGCCAACAGUAGCAAUUGUGUCAAGGUGAUCAAGGAAUAAGAUGUAAACAAUUGUUGGAUUUAUAAUAUGAUUUUAAAAGUGCAGUUUCAGUAAAGUGGUAAGAAUGGGAGGACAAUCAAAUGGCACGUGGUGUGUGUGUGUGUGUGUGGAGGUUGUGGUGUGUGUGGGGGGGGAUGUAUGUGUGGAGAGUGUGGCAUGAGAUGCAUGUGCAUAUGUAUGUUUAGGAUGAGGUGUGUGUGGAGAGUGAGAUGUGUGUGUGUAGGAUAUGAGGUGUGUGAGCUGUGUGUGUGUGUGUGUGAUGUGUGUGUAGGGUGCAGUGUUGUGGUAUAUGUGUAUGUGUACAUGGUGUGGGGGGUGCAGGGUGUGUGUGUAUGUAGGAUGCGGUGUGUGUGGAGAGUGAGAUGUGUGUGUAGAGUGCAAUGUGUAUGGGGUGUUUGUAGGGUGCGCUGUACAUGUGGGCAGUGUGUGUGUAUUCUGACUGAAUGCUGAGCACUGGUGCUUGAGCUCUCCUGCCCUGCCUGGGAGGUGGUGUGUCUGAGGUGAGGGGAAGGCUGACCCAGCUGAUGGGUCCUGUGAGGCAGAGGUUGAGGAGGGAGCCAGAGAUGAGAACCAACAACAUGCUCCAGGAAGAGGGACAGGCGCAGAAGCAAGGGGACACCAGACUGGAACAGAUGGACUCAUGCAGUUGUUCCUUGAUGGCCUGUUCACAUAUAGCAUUUGCCAUGUCCCACAAAUGCAGAAUUCUGGUGGAACCACAGUGCGUGGAAGUUCCAGGAGACUGAAAGUGGUGCAAGGUUAAGUGUGUUACAUAUGUAAUUGAGUAAUCAGGGGUGCUGACAGCCCGACAGGCCAUGCCUUCCAUUCGAACCAGAGCUUGCUUCACAUAGAAAGAAAGCAAUGGCUUUCUAAGGAAUGUGGACAAGUGAGGAACCCUAUCAUAUCCUUCUUACUCAUUUCUUCCCUGUGUUAACCAACCACUUACGCUGAAAAUGAUGACACAGAAGAAAGGGAAAGACAGGACAACCCAUAGUUCCUUUUCCUUUCAGCCCUUCCUUACUCAUCAGUAAGCUGAAGGUCAAGAGUAUUGAUGGAACAUGCACGUUAUCAAGAAGUAAAAUUAAAACAGUUGAGUUAGUUUUGUGCAGUGUUCCCGCUGCUCUGGUAAGGACAAAAUAUAUACGCAAGUAAGAGCUAGGAAAUAUGAACUGUGUAAUUUCAAUGAUUCCACGUAUGAGUCAAAUGCACUUAUUUUCAUUUACAACUAACACUACACAACAUAAAGAAUAGUAAAAUUCAUACUAAUAAUUAAAUUUUAAAUUUUUCUUUACUUAAAAUGACAUUAAAUAUCAAAUUAAAAACAUCAUGACUAGUAAAAAAAAAUUGUGGAAGAAAGAAAAAGUUUUAUGCUUUGGUGACCCUUAAUGGCCUUAUUUCCCUCUGGUUUUUGAACAAGGAGCUCGAUAUUUUCAUUUUGUACUGGGCCCUGAAAAUUAUGUUACUGGCCCUGGGUGAGAUGGUUGUUUAUAUUUGUAUGACCAGGGUCAAAAAACAGUCUUGGAACCACAGGAGCAGGGAAGAUUCACCAAUAAAUUGAUGAACACAAGUCUUCAUCAUUACCCACACACACUCACUGGCCCCUCAACAUUGGUAACAAUGGCCAUGGGUGGAGAGUUAAGAAGAUGAUAACUCCCAGAAAACUAUGCUUUUUCUGCUGAUAACUCUUCAACAUCUCACCACACCCAAUAUCUCUGCUUUUGUUAACAAACCAUGAACUGCUUCAAGUUGUCAUACCCUUUCUCACUGUCUUUCUUCUGAUUGGAACGGCCUGGUGAGAGCAGGCUGGUGGGAACACACACCUUCCGAAAGGCCCUCACCACAGCAGAUCACUGCUGGCGUCCGAGCUACUUCCUGCUUGUCCUGUUGUGUCCUUCAUCAGUGACCGCACUCUUGGAGUGCUUGCCUCUGGCUCCUGUUUUCCACCCAUUUCUCAGCCUGGUAACUCCUGGUUUCCAGUCUUAGUGGGCCCACUGCUCUGCUCCCACCUCCUGUGAUAGGGUCGGGAGAGCCGCCAACCCCACUUGACUCCUGGACCCCAUCCAGGCUGUGGUAUGUGCCAGCACCAUCUUCCCAAAGGAUGCUGCCCCUCCCUGAGGCUCAUGGUAUAGCUCUUCUCCCAUAUUCAUACCCCCGUCUUGAAGCCUGGCCCACAUAGGGUUUCCAGAAAGCCUUCCCCGAACCACUAAUAGAAACCCUACUAUACUCACACCUUCCUUAAGAGAUACUUCACAAACCCAGUUUUGUGCGGUGCAAAGGGGAUGAAAUCAGAAAUAACAUAGGUUUAAAUCCUGGUUAACUAACUGAUUUUUGAGUCUGUCAAUAAACCUCUCUGUGCCUCAAUUUCCCCAUCUACAAAAACAGGAUUGUGAUACUUACCUCAUAGGAUCAUUGUGAGGAUUAUGAGAAAUAGCACAGGCAAAGCACCUAGGUGCUGCCUGGCAUGUCCCAGCACUCAGUAAAAGCUCCCCCAACACUUUUCUCCCCCUGCUGGGGUUGGGCACCAUGCCUUAUUCAUGCCUUUAUUCCUUGCAGCACCUAGAGUAACAUCUUGUGGCUGGCAGAUGAUCAAUGCCUGUGGAUUGAAUUAAAUUAAAACUUUCCUUGUGUUACACUGUUCUCUCCAUGUCCCCAGUUGUAAUAUCCUCUUAAAAGUAUCAUCGCUUGGCUGGGCACGGUGGCUCAUGCCUGUAAUCCCAGCACUUUGGGAGGCUGAGGCGGGUGGAUUACAAGGUCAGGAGAUCGAGACCAUCCUGGCUAACACGGUGAAACCCCGUCUGUACUAAAAAUACAAAAAAAAAAAAAAAAAUUAGCUGGGCGUGGUGGUGGGCGCCUGUAGUCCCAGCUACUCGGGAGGCUGAGGCAGAAGAAUGGCAUGAACCCGGGAGGGGGAGCUUGCAGUGAGCCGAGAUCGCGCCACUGCACUCCAGCAUGGGCAACAGAGUGAGACUCCGUGUCAAAAACAAACAAAAAAAAGUAUCAUUGCUCAGCUUAUAAGUUCUACUUCAUGUUACUGCAGAUUGUGACCCCCAAAUGAAGUAACUUUUGCUGUUCCUUCUUAUUAAAAAUAAUACAUGCUCAAUAUAUAAAUAAAAAUACAAGCAAAAAGAGUAUUAAAAAGUCUGAUAAUUCUACCCACACAGACAUAGCUAGUAUUAACAUCUCUCCAUUAGCUUUUCAAUGCAAUGCAGCUAUUAUAUCUAUGUGUGUGCAUGUAUACAUGUAUGUAUAAUAUUUUGCUGAGGGAGGAAGGUGGAAAUAGCAUAUUAAGAGAGGGAUGUGGGCUUUAGAAUAGAAAAAAUUCAGCAAGCCUGUGCUCUGUGAGUGUGAAAAUAACCACUGGUGUCUACUUAGAUUCAGUAGGGUGGGAGUCUUGCUGGAAAUGCUUUUUAAAUUUCUAGUGCCAUAAUCUUUCUUUCAUCCAAAGAGGAAAAAAUGAGUCUUUACGUAUUUUUUAAUGUAGCGAUAAUUAUCAUUCAUCAGCAUACUGCACACUCUUUAUUUGGGUGUUUAUUAAGGAUCUAUUUCAUGCCAGACGCUGGAGUUGGCACUAAAAACAAGGAUACGGUUACUGCUCUCAGUGAGUUUUCAGUCUGGUGGGGGACACACAUGAGAAAUAGCACAGGCAAAGCCCCUGGGUGCUGCCUGGCAUGUCCCAGCACUCAAUAAAAGCUCCCCCCAACACUUUUCUCCCUCUGCCGUGGUUGGGCACCAUGCCUUAUUCAUGCCUUUAUUCCUUGCAGCACCUAGAACAACAUCUUGUGGCUGGCAGUAAAUAGGUGGGCAAGAUUAUCAGAUUUUUUAAUACUCUUUUUGCUUGUCUUUUUAUUUUUAUAUCGAGUAUGCAUUAUUUUUAAUAAGAAGAAACAGCAAAAGUGACUUCAUUUGGGGGUAAGAAAAGUAAAUAGGUUACCACAGUGCCAUGUGAUAAAUGUUAGGAGGUGGGAACCACAGGAUGCUGAGGAGCAUUCAAGGUGGGGGGACCAAACCCAACUGUGAAGAAUUCCCAGAAAAGGUGGUAUCUAUGCUGAGUCUUCCAGGGAAGGUCAUAGUUUGUCAGGCCAUGAAAAUAAGGGGUAGAGAAAAAAAUAAUUCCUUGGAGAGGGAAGAACAUGUGCAAUGACUCGGAGGCAAAACUCUGUGUGGGGACUGCAGGUGCAGAGUGGGAGGAGCAUGGAGUUGGAGGGGUGAAGUGCAGAGAGAUAAGAGUGAGAAAGGCCUUGGAUACCACGCUCAUGAGUUUAAACUUUGUCCUGAUGGUUAAGGGGAGCCACUGAAUUCUUUGAAAAAGGGGGUGUCAUUAUUUGUGGGGUUGAAUGUAAACAGCUGGGUAAAUGGGUCUAUACUUCUGGAGACAGAUUUAAGCUGGAGAUGUAGACUUAGGAGUUAUUUAUAUACAGAUGGGAGAUGAAGUUUGGGGUGUAAAUCAAAUCCCUAAAGAAAUCUAUAAUGAGAAGAGUGGCUGGAAACACUGACAUUUAAUGAGAAACAGAGGAAGUUGCCUGAGAAGGAUUAGCCAGAGAGGUAGGAGAAUAACCUAGAGAUAGUAAUGUUUGGGUACCAAGGAAAGAGAAUUGUGUAGAUACAGGAGGAAAGAAUCACCAGCUGGGGAAAAAAGGGUCAAGUUAGAUAAUAACUAAAAUGAUAUUACUUGAAUUUGACAACAGGGUCAUUGGUGGUCAUAGUGAGAACAGUUUCAGGGGAGUGAUGGGGUGGAAGCCAGAUUGUAGUGGGUUGAAGAGUGGGGGUGGAAAGAGGAAAUGAAGGUAACAAAUAUAGACAACAUUUUAUGAGGUUUCACUUCAAAGGGGAGAAAAGAAAUAGUGCAGUAGCUAAAGUAAGACCUGUGAUUGGAGGAAGACUUCAUUAUUUUAAGAUUUAGAAAAGCUGUUCAAGCAGAUUGAAAUACUGAUGGGAAGAAAGAGAAAGUGAAAGAGAGAGAGAGAAGAUAAUUCUUCCAAAAUGCUUUCAUAUUUAUUCAUUUGUUUAGCAUUACACAGUUCACUUAGGAGGCUAUUAAUCUUUUUUCCAUUUUCAGGCAGAAAAACUAAAUGAAACCCAAAACAAUGAAGUGAAUUCUCUAAGAUUGUAUGUCAGGAAAAUGAAAGUGAUAAGCUUAAACUCUGGGGUUCCAACAGACAGUAAAGAUUCAGGAAGAAAAAUGCAUUUCCAUCUGUAAAAUCCCUUGAGCCCAGAGCAUAUCCAAGGUACUAUGAUCAUCAUGCCCCCAACUCCCCCACCCUCGACUGGGAGGGGAAGCCAGUCUUGUAGCUCUUAUCAGACUGUAUUGAGCUGAAGCUUUAAUGAGCAGCAGCAAUCUGUUAUUUUCCUCUUGUUUGCCUUGCAAGUUGCUCUUUUAAUUCACAUCAAGAGAGGGAGAAGGAGAUGAAUAUUAAAAGCGCACAUCAAGGGACUGAGCCAGCCAGGGAGACAGGGAGCUCUUCAGUAUGCAGGGACAGAAGCAGGAGUUUGAUGUGAGACAGGAACCAUUGCCCUGGAGUCUGCUCCGGUGUCUGACAAGCCUGCCCUUGGGAAAUGUUGCUCACUAGAGUUGCUCUGGUAUUGGGAAAGGGUUGUUUCUGGAAUUGUCUGCACUGUGGGCUUGGCUGACUCUAGAAUGACAACAGAAAGAAAGAAACUAUUUCUGAGACUUUGAGAGAAUAAUUUAUUAUGAUGUAGAAACCAAAGUGUGGGGGAAGAGUUUCUGUAAUGGGACAUCUGACCUAAAAAGAGCAGUAAGUCCCACUGGUCUCAGAUGGUUUGGGUGUAGGAAAGAUGGAAGGAAAGGGUCUCAAUGUCAAGAGUACCAAUAUUUUUUUUAGUCUCUAUUCAGUAGUGAGGCUCUGAUUCUCCAAGUUAAUUUCAUAAAGUGGUGAAAAUCCAGAGCAAAGGCCAGCAAACAUUUGGGAAUUGUUUGCUUCAGCUGGUCCAGAUGACCCUAUAAGGGACUUAUCUUCUCUAUAAUCUGAGAACUUGGAAGAAUAAGAGCUUAAUAAGGGUGCAUAGGAGGUUAAUCUUAUCCCCAAGUACUGCAAUAAAUGCUCACCAUCAGAAUCACACAGAGGUUUGUACUUGCUAAUUCAGCCAAAGUCAGUUCUUGGGAAGACCUCAGGGUUAUUGGCUGACUGUAAUGGUGUAAUGGGUAAAGGCCAGGAUUGGUUGAUUGGUUGUUAAGGGUAAUAAUUUUGUACCAAGCCCAAAAUUAUACAGGGCUGGCAUCUUCAAGUUCUUGCACUGUGCAUGGAUUUGGUAAAUUCUUAAUAAAUCUUUGUUAAAUGAGUGAAUAAAUAAUCUUGGUUUCUUAUUCCUUUAUUCAAGUGACCUAUGCCAAUUCAAUUCAACAAAUAUUUAUUGAGCACCUACUAUAUAAGAAGAACCUAGUAAGCCCUAG